rnacentral:tRNA from 1 species
AGUGGUAAAACUAGCCUUCCAAGCUAAG